GAUGAACGCUGGCGGCGUGCCUAAUACAUGCAAGUCGAGCGAACGGACGAGAAGCUUGCUUCUCUGAUGUUAGCGGCGGACGGGUGAGUAACACGUGGAUAACCUACCUAUAAGACUGGGAUAACUUCGGGAAGCCGGAGCUAAUACCGGAUAAUAUUUUGAACCGCAUGGUUCAAAAGUGAAAGACGGUCUUGCUGUCACUUAUAGAUGGAUCCGCGCUGCAUUAGCUAGUUGGGAAGGUAACGGCUUACCAAGGCAACGAUGCAUAGCCGACCUGAGAGGGUGAGCGGCCACACUGGAACGUAGACACGGUCAAGACGCCUACGGGAGGCAGCAGUAGGGAAUCUUCCGCAAUGGGCGAAAGCCUGACGGAGCAACGCCGCGUGAGUGAUGAAGGUCUUCGGAUCGUAAAACUCUGUUAUUAGGGAAGAACAUAUGUGUAAGUAACUGUGCACAUCUUGACGGUACCUAAUCAGAAAGCCACGGCUAACUACGUG
rnacentral:rRNA from 1 species